rnacentral:rRNA from 1 species
AUGACAUGCCCGUCGGCGCUCCAUCCUCCCAUCUUCUCCAUCUUUUCCCUAGCCAUCUCCCUCCUCCCUCCCUUUUCCGCCCCCACCUCUACUCCGAUCUGGUCUGGAACUAGGCGCCGGCGACUUGGAGGCAGAGGACACUCGAGCGCUCCUUCUGGAUCGGGUCAACGCGGCGCCACCUCUCGAUGCGGAAUGGCGGGGGCGGCUAGAUCGGCAGCGGCAACUGGAGCUUGCAGAACGACGGCGGCGGCUGGAGCUGGGGAUUGCCAGCCCUGGGAGGAGCGCGUCUCGCCGGCUGCGGCUCCACUGGGAGGAGCGCAACUACGUAGCUAUAAUUGUUCAGGGAGCCAUGCAAUUGGAGCUGAGAGAAUUAUUAGCACGUUAUGUAAAGAAGUGUUGAGCCAGUACAAAGGGACGAUCCUCAAUUUGUUAAUAGCAGAGCUGUGUGAGCGUUUACGGAGCGCGAACGGGGAGUCAACAGUCAGCUGCUGUCAUAUCUCAAAAAUGCGGGUUCGUUUUUCGUUGCUUACAGCGAGAGCGGUCGUGGUGGACAGGAACGACCACCACGGAUCCCUCGCCCCAAGUCAAGAUCCAGUUGUUGAAUGUUCACAAGAAAAUUUAUGUAUUCCUGAAACACUACCCAUUGUUUUAGCUGCCUACAUGGAUUGGAGAUUGACUGAUUGUUUGGUUGUCCGCAGAUUCAAAGAUGAAGUGAUUCAGAUGAGCGUCUCCCACAAGUCUUUUGCACUACCCGAGAGGUCAAGCAUCCCAGAUCAUGAUCCAAUCAUGACUGAAAUUGCCACAUGCUCGGGCAGAAGCUUAAGCGAGUCGAUCCCCAUCUUCCUCUCUCCCUCUAUCCCACAGGUCACCUACGACGCUCCUCUCUCCCUCGAUCCCUUCUCUGCACCACCGGCGCCCAUGGCAAGCACUAUCCCCUUGCACCGCUUGCCGGAUACAUCCAUUCCCACCGCUGGCGCUCCUGCUCGCUCUGCAGCUGUCCCCAACUCCUCCUCAAUCCACACCUCCGUGUCCUCCGCCUUCGCCGCCUGCCGCCUCCUUCUCCCCACGACCCCACCUCCUCUAUUUCUCCCCUUCCGCCUCCUGCCCCACUCCCUGCCCGCCUCCUUCUCCCCACCCCGCCCGCCUCCUUAUCCUGCCUCGCGACUGUCUCGGUGCCGGUGGUGGUGGCCACGACCAGACUCUUGCGCAGCUACCGGCUGCAGUUCCUUGCGCUUCCUCCCACGUCUCCACCACCUCGCCUGUGCAACACCGUGCCCGCACGGUCCCAGCGCCAUCUACUACAGCCCCGCGGUCAACCGUCUGGACACCAUGGGCAGCGGCCAUGGAGGCCGCACCUCUAUCCGCUCGCCAGCCAGUACCUCCGCCUACAUCCUCCCUCAUCCAUCUAGAUCAGGGUUGCCCAACAGUUUUUCAUGUUGUGUCUUUUCUGACCGCGUGAAGUUGCAAGUUGCAGAAGUGGAAUCAACCUUUUCUAUUAUCAUGCCAAAAGAAAAAAAACCUUUAAUGCUACAGCCGAGCGGAGCCAUGGAUGCCUAUGCUUUCGCAUACUUGCCUCUGUUGCUGGAGGUAUAUCAUUCCAAUAUUCAUACUAUAGAAGUCGUUGUCAGGGAGUGCGAGAUGGGCGGCGCAGUGGCCAGCGAUGGCAACAGCAUCACGGCAGCUGUGUUCACCCAGUUUGAGGUGACGUCGAGGAGAUGUCGACGAACUCCGUGGAUGAGCGGUGGUCAUGAGAGUUUGCCGAGGAAGGCCGACUCGAUCAUGGAGUUGCUAUCGCUGCAGAAGGCGACGCUAGCAAUAGAGACAUCCAUCCAUUAG